rnacentral:rRNA from 1 species
UACGAAGGGGGCUAGCGUUGUUCGGGAUCACUGGGCGUAAAGGGCGCGUAGGCGGCCUGAUAAGUCGGGGGUGAAAGCCUGUGGCUCAACCACAGAAUUGCCUUCGAUACUGUUAGGCUUGAGACCGGAAGAGGUAAGUGGAACUGCGAGUGUAGAGGUGAAAUUCGUAGAUAUUCGCAAGAACACCAGUGGCGAAGGCGGCUUACUGGUCCGGUUCUGACGCUGAGGCGCGAAAGCGUGGGGAGCAAACAGG